UACGUAGGGGCUAGCGUUGUCCGGAAUCAUUGGGCGUAAAGCGCGUGUAGGCGGUUCGGUAAGUCCGCUGUGAAAGUCGGGGCUCAACCCUCGAAUGCCGGUGGAUACUGUCGGGCUAGAGUGCGGAAGAGGCGAGUGGAAUUCCAGGUGUAGCGGUGAAAUGCGUAGAUAUCUGGAGGAAUACCGGUGGCGAAGGCGGCAUCCUGGACCGGCAUUGACGCUGAGGAGCGAAAGCCAGGGAGCAAGCGGG
rnacentral:rRNA from 1 species